GACGAACGCUGGCGGCGUGCCUAAUACAUGCAAGUAGAACGCAGUGGCGAACGGGUGAGUAACGCGUAGGUAACCGCCUCUUACCGGGCGAUAAAUAUUGGAAACCAUAGCUAAUACCGCAUUCUUUGAGAUGGACCUGCGUGGUAUUAGCUAGUUGGCGAGGUAAACGGUCACCAAGGCGACGAUACAUAGCCGCCCUGAGAGGGUUGGCCGGCACACUGGGAGUGAAGCACGGGCCCGGCUCCGUACGGAGGGAGGAGUAGGGAAACUUCGGGAAAGGAUGGAAAUCCGACCGAGGAACGCCGGGUGAGUUGAGGAGGUUUUCGGGUCGUAAAGCUCUGUUGUUAGAGGAGCGGUAACUAACCAGAAAGGGACGGCUAACUACGUGCCAGCAGCCGCGGUAAUUC
rnacentral:rRNA from 1 species